CCACAGAGGCAGGAUCAUUGAUGACCUCUACCAUGGCCAGGUUCCCUCUCCUCCUCACCCUCCUCGCUCACUGCACAGGGUCCUGGGCCCAGUCUGUGCUGACUCAGCCAGCCUCAGUGUCUGGAUCCCUGGGCCAAAGGGUCACCAUCUCCUGCACUGGAAGCACAGACAACAUCGGUGGUGAUAAUUAUGUGCACUGGUACCAACAGCUCCCAGGAAAGGCACCCAGUCUCCUCAUCUAUGAUGAUGAUAACAGAGAAUCUGGGGUCCCGGAACGAUUCUCUGGCUCCAAGUCAGGCAGCUCAGCCACUCUGACCAUCACUGGGCUCCAUGCUGAGGACGAGGCUGAUUAUUAUUGCCAGUCCUACGAUGACAGCCUCAAUACUCACACAGUGCUCCAGUCCAAUGGGGAAGCAUAUUCGAACAUUCAGGUGGCUUGA